rnacentral:misc_RNA from 1 species
AAGUCGUAACAAGGUUUCCGUAGGUGAACCUGCGGAAGGAUCAUUAACGAAAUAUUUCUGACAUUCGUCGGAAUAAAUCAUCUUACACCUGUGAAAAUACGAAUCUUUGCUUUGGCUUGGGUGAAAACUCGAGCCAAAAGAUCAAAACCUUACAAUUUUAACCUGAGUCUGAGAAAGAAAAGAAUAAAUUAUUCAAAACUUUCAGCAACGGAUCUCUUGGUUCUC